rnacentral:rRNA from 1 species
UUUUCCCACGGCAGCGGCGCAUAUAAUGCAGNUCGAGCGCAGGGAACUGACGGAACUCUUCGGAGGGAAGGCAGCGGAAUGAGCGGCGGACGGGUGAGUAACACGUAAGGAACCUGCCUCAAGGAUUGGGAUAACUCCGAGAAAUCGGAGCUAAUACCGGAUAGUUCAUCGGACCGCAUGGUCCGUUGAUGAAAGGCGCUUCGGCGUCACCUUGAGAUGGCCUUGCGGUGCAUUAGCUAGUUGGUGGGGUAACGGCCCACCAAGGCGACGAUGCAUAGCCGACCUGAGAGGGUGAUCGGCCACACUGGGACUGAGACACGGCCCAGACUCCUACGGGAGGCAGCAGUAGGGAAUCUUCCACAAUGGACGAAAGUCUGAUGGAGCAACGCCGCGUGAGUGAUGAAGGUUUUCGGAUCGUAAAACUCUGUUGUAAGGGAAGAACACGUACGAGAGGAAAUGCUCGUACCUUGACGGUACCUUACGAGAAAGCCACGGCUAACUACGUGCCAGCAGCGCCGGGUAAUAAAA